CUCUUAUCCAGAGAGGUGGAGGGACUGGCCCUUUGAAGCCUCGGCAACCUGGAAACAAGCGGGGGAGACCCAAUUGUUUCUAAGGUGCCAAUUCCGGCGGAAUCUAAAGGUAGAUCUUUUGAUUAAAAGGUUACUGAAAGAUGAGAG
rnacentral:ncRNA from 2 species